GGGAUGACGGCCUAUGGGUUGUAAACCUCUUUUUUCAGGGAGGAAUCAAAUGACGUGUACCUGAAGAAUAAGCAUCGGCUAACUCCGUGCCAGCAGCCGCGGUAAGACGGAGGAUGCAAGUGUUAUCCGGAAUCACUGGGCGUAAAGCGUCUGUAGGUGGUCCAAUAAGUCAACUGUUAAAUCUUGAGGCUCAACCUCGAAAUCGCAGUCGAAACUAUUAGACUAGAGUAUAGUAGGGGUAAAGGGAAUUUCCAGUGGAGCGGUGAAAUGCGUAGAGAUUGGAAAGAACACCGAUGGCGAAGGCACUUUACUGGGCUAUUACUAACACUCAGAGACGAAAGCUAGGGUAGCAAAUGGGAUUAGAUACCCCAGUAGUCCUAGCCGUAAACAAUGGAUACUAGAUGUUGAACAGAUCGACCUGUGCAGUAUCAAAGCUAACGCGUUAAGUAUCCCGCCUGGGAAGUAUGCUCGCAAGAGUGAAACUCAAAGGAAUUGACGGG
rnacentral:rRNA from 1 species